UACGUAGGGCGCAAGCGUUGUCCGGAAUUAUUGGGCGUAAAGCGCUCGUAGGCGGUUUGUCGCGUCUGCUGUGAAAACUGGGGGCUCAACCCCCAGCCUGCAGUGGGUACGGGCAGACUAGAGUGCGGUAGGGGAGAUUGGAAUUCCUGGUGUAGCGGUGGAAUGCGCAGAUAUCAGGAGGAACACCAAUAGCGAAGGCAGCUCGCUGGGACGUUACUGACACUGAGGCGCGAAAGCGUGGGGAGCGAACAGG
rnacentral:rRNA from 1 species